AGCGAACGCUGGCGGCGUGCCUAACACAUGCAAGUCGAACGUGAACGAGGGGCAACCCUUUAGUAAAGUGGCGUACGGGUGAGUAACGCGUAGGUCAUCUACCCAAGAGUUCGGAAUAACCUGCCGAAAGGCGGGCUAAUACUGGAUAGAGCGAAGAAACUCGUAAUGGAGUUUUUCGGGAAGGGAGCUGGUAACAGCCCUCGCUCUUGGAUGAGCCUGCGUCUCAUUAGCUAGUUGGUGGGGAAUGGCCCACCAAGGCUUUGAUGGGUAGCUGGUCUGAGAGGAUGAUCAGCCACACUGGAACUGAACACGGUCCAGACUCCUACGGGAGGCAGCAGUGGGGAAUCUUGCGCAAUGGACGAAAGUCUGACGCAGCCACGCCGCGUGAGUGAAGAAGGCC
rnacentral:rRNA from 1 species